rnacentral:lncRNA from 1 species
UAUCUACGGUCAAAAUUUCAAAUCUACAUCAACAAACGCAUGAAACUUAAAGUUUACUGUACCUCCCGUCUCUAUUUUCCUCUUUCCCUUGGCUUGCUCUGUCACCGUCCUCUGUCUCCUCUUCUCUCUCUCUUCUCGCUCCUCUCCGCCUCCCGUCUCCAUUUUUCUCCUUCCCUUGGCUUACUCUAUCACCGUCCUCUGUCUCCUCCUCUCUCUCU